CUAGAAUGUCAGGCAGAAUGAAAUAAGCACUCUGUGGAGGCAUGAGUAAAUUCCUAUGGAACUCUGGGAAUAAGAACAAUGAACUUGGAUGAUGGAGGAUGAGGGCACUUAAAAGGAACCAUAUAAGACCCAGGCCCUGUCUGCCUAAAUGUCCAACCAACUCCUAAUAGUGGGCUUGGCACCCAGAUCAUCAAAAAGAGACUAUGACAGGAUGGGGCUGGCACAAUGAAUUUUAUGCUGAGUUUUUCCUUAUGGAAGUCAGAUGCUAAUGGACUCACACUGCUUCUUAAAUUCACUCUUAGAGAAUACAAAAAGGUUAUCAGCAUAAAGAAGGAAACUGCAUUUCUCUUUGUUGCAUCAGGAGAAGGCAAAGUCAAUUCAUUUCAUAUUUGCGCUAUGUUGAUAAAGUUUAAAAAAUAAGUGCUGAACUUAGUCCUGUUUGACAUCACUUAAGACCAUAUUGCAUUUCAUCUAUCUCUGCCUAUUCUAAUUUUGGCAAAUAUGUUAAAUGAAAGAGGCAGUAAUAAUUGAGGUGACUGUCUGGAAUGCAUGAGUUGGUCCAUAGACAACUGUUGUCCAUAGAAUCAGAGGUGGAUGAUGGAGCAGCGGUGAAGUUUAUACAUGACCUUGAGAUGUUCUUAAACCUGAGGCAUAUCAGUACAAGCCCAUUAAAAGCAAUGGUUUUAUUUUCAAUUUCAAAAACAUAGAUUAUAAAGACAAUCUCAAGAAAAUAAGCCAAGCCAGAUUCAAAGAAAAUAUUUGCAUAGGAUAUAUCUGAU